UAUAAAAUAGUAAUUUUUUUGAUCUGAUUGGGCCUUUCCUUUCCCUCCUGGUUCUGGACGCUUAAAUCCAAAACCCUAAAGGCUCAACUGUAACGUCUCGCAACUUCCAACUCGGAGACAUUCUUUCUCUAGUCUAAACCAAAGCGAAACGGCUUCAGCGAUCACUACAGGAACCCUUGAGUUGGAAAAAAAAUCAAUUCCAAUAUAAAUAUCUAUAGAGACAACUAGGAUGGUGUUUGGGCAAGUUGUGAUUGGUCCACCUGGAUCAGGAAAGACUACUUACUGCAAUGGCAUGUCCCAGUUCCUUAAACUUAUUGGAAGAAAAGUUGCUGUAAUCAAUUUGGAUCCAGCCAAUGAUC